rnacentral:rRNA from 1 species
UGAACGCUAGCGGCAGGCUUAACACAUGCAAGUCGAGGGGUAUAGUUCUUCGGAAUUAGAGACCGGCGCACGGGUGCGUAACGCGUAUGCAAUCUACCUUUCACAGAGGGAUAGCCCAGAGAAAUUUGGAUUAAUACCUCAUAGUAUAGCAGUUUCGCAUGAAACCACUAUUAAAGUCACAACGGUGAAAGAUGAGCAUGCGUCCCAUUAGCUAGUUGGUAAGGUAACGGCUUACCAAGGCAACGAUGGGUAGGGGUCCUGAGAGGGAGAUCCCCCACACUGGUACUGAGACACGGACCAGACUCCUACGGGAGGCAGCAGUGAGGAAUAUUGGACAAUGGGCGCAAGCCUGAUCCAGCCAUGCCGCGUGCAGGAUGACGGUCCUAUGGAUUGUAAACUGCUUUUAUACAGGAAGAAACACUACUUCGUGAAGUAGCUUGACGGUACUGUAAGAAUAAGGAUCGGCUAACUCCGUG